UCGCAAACCAUAUGAGUGACAAGGUAAAAACAUGUUUUUGUUUAUCAAUUCAGGUUUACUUUCUUUUGCUAAAGAGCUGAGCCUAGGAAAGGGGAAAAUAAUAACCUCUUAAAGAUAGCAAUGUUAAACCCCAGCAGAAUAGAAACAAAUGUACAAUAUGAAUUCUGAGAUAAAGGUAGUGACAAUAAGACUGUAAAAGGAAAUGAAAAUUCAUGAUGAAGAGGUUCACUGAGCUUCCUCCAGGUCUAUUAUCAGCAGAGAAUGAUCAGUCAGAGGCACUCUGUGGUAUGUCAUAGCAAAUGGGUUCCAGUGAGUUUUAGAUAAACUGCAGUCUUCCUGCAUAACCAGCCAGUGCCUUGGCUGCCCUCAGCCUGGUUGUAUUGCUAGGGACUGUAAACCAAAUUAAACUCCCAAGGCUUAGGCUGAAGCUAACCAGUACAGCCCUUCCUGGCCUUGGAGAUGGAUGAGAUGUUUUGUUAAGUUUAGGAUGUGGCUAAGCAGCAGAAUUGGCUUUUUUUACUGCCAUUUGUACAAAAGGAUUAAAAUAUUCCUGUUACAUUCAGCAGUUCAGCUUGCAGUGCACACAGACUGCAACAGGCCAGAAAAUCUGCUCUUUUCCUACAGAGCGUUUGACUUUUCAGUUAGGACACACAAAAUCACACACGCCGUUGCCCUGGCCUAAAAUUGCUUUGAUUAUCACCUCAGCAGAAUUUGCUUUCUGGUAAUCACUGAGGAAGACAGAUGGAAGGACAACUUGCCCAUGUUAUUGUUCAUCUCACAGAAAGACAAUACUGCAAUUUGUCAUCCUCACUUACUACCGGCUGUGCGUUCUGAGCUCUGUCUCCUGACUAUUUCCCUGCUCUUACAAUAACUGGAACAGUUUCCAAGCUAUUGAGAACAUUUUCUGUCGCUCUUCUGAACAGCUCCUAAGCAUUUGACCUGCAAAUGUUUUCUCUGGAGCUACAGAAUUCCUUAUAGAAAAGGAGAGAAAUGAAGAGCCCAGAAGAAGCUACCGGAUAAGGGGCUUUUGGAGAACACUUCAGGCACAGCUGGCAUUUCAAAUUAUUUUCCAACUAACUUCUACUACAAAUCGUUACAGCCUUUGUAGCAUCUGGGUAACUUCCUAAAACUAUUCCCUAAUAUUCUUGCUCAGCAUUUUUUAUGAUGAAUACAGUUCUGCACCUGAGCAUCCCACUGCGGUUUCCUCCUGGCUGUAUUACAGUGACUGGAGUUUUUACUGACACGCACAGUUCUUGAAAGCACAGUUUAAGUUCUUAUGUGUGAGUAAUAAUACCAGAAAGGAGUUUCACCCACUUCCCAUUAUUACUGGUGGUGUAUUGUUGCUGGAAGCUGGGUAAGGCUGUGAAACAUCCAAAAUAAAGAUGAGCGCUGCACUAUGAAAGAGAUCAUUGCUAUUACAAACUGGGGUGUGGGGGAAGAGUGAGUGUUAAAAUUGGGAGUAUGGAGAGCUAAACAGACAAGCUACACACUGCCACAUGACAAAAUGAAUAGGCUGCACACAGUUAUGGAUCA